rnacentral:lncRNA from 1 species
AGCUAUGAAAGAAGAAAUGAACUCCUUAACUAAAAACAAAACCUGGAUUCUGGUUAAUAAACCUAAAGAUCAAAGGAUUGUAGAUUGUAAGUGGAUUUAUAAAAUAANNNNNNNNNNNNNNNNNNNNNNNNNNNNNNNNNNNNNNNNNNNNNNNNNNNNNNNNNNNNNNNNNNNNNNNNNNNNNNNNNNNNNNNNNNNNNNNNNNNNNNNNNNNNNNNNNNNNNNNNNNNNNNNNNNNNNNNNNNNNNNNNNNNNNNNNNNNUUAAUUGAUUUAGGUCUAAAAUUCGAACAUUGCAAUGAAGGGGCAAUUUUGAAGGGCUAUUGUGAUUCUGAUUUUGCUGGUGAUCUUGAUAAAAGGAGAUCCACUUCCUCUUAUGUCUUUACUUUGUGUAAUGGAUGUGUAAGUUGGAAAUCCCAAUUACAGAAACUUGUUGCUCUGUCUUCCACAGAGGCUGAAUAUAUAGCAACUUGUGAUGCAAAUAAAGUAGGAUUAUGGUUGAAGGGUCUAUUAACUGAAAUUGGUUUAAAAAAUGAACCUAUUAAUGUAUUUACAGAUAAUCAAAGUACUAUACACUUAAGUAAAAAUCUUGUGUAUCAUNCCAUUGACUUUAAUAUCCCUGAAGCAAUGUGGUAUGGAAGAUAUCCAGACUACUCCAAACUUAAAGUGUUUGGUUGUGCAGCCCAUUUUCACCAAAAUGAAGGAAAAUUAGAACCCAAAUCCCUAAAGUGUAUCUUCUUAGGUUAUGGUGAGGAAUCAAAGGGAUUUAGACUUUGGGUAAGGGAACAACAUGGAUUCAAAGUCAUAAUAAGUAGAAACGUUACCUUCAAUGAAGAUAUGUUCCCUUGAAAUGAUUCUAAAAAUUUGGAUCAAUCCGAAUCUGUCAUUUUAAAGGAAACCCUUCUUGAAAGGAAUCACUUUGAUGAGCCAAAUGACGUUCUUGAGGUGGAGUCCUCACAAUCUGAGCUAGAUCAACCACUAUCUAAAUCUGAAAUUGAAAACCAAAUCCUUGUUCCUUCAGAUUGUCAAUUAACCAGAGAUAGGGCCAUAAGAAAUAGGAUUCCUUCCACUAGAAUAAAUACUGAUGAGUUUGUUACUUUCUAUUCUGAAAUGGAAUCUAUUAAUUCUAAACCAACAACCUUUGAAGAAGUUGUUAACUGUAAAGAAUCCAAGUUAUGGUUUGAAGCUAUGAAAGAAGAAAUGAACUCCUUAACUAAAAACAAAACCUGGAUUCUGGUUAAUAAACCUAAAGAUCAAAGGAUUGUAGAUUGUAAGUGGAUUUAUAAAAUAAUAGAAGGCGAUCCUACAAUUGGGGGAAAGAGAUACAAAGCUAGAUUAGUAGCAAAGGGGUUUACACAGAGAGAAGGAAUAGAUUAUAAUGAAAUUUUUUCACCUGUUGCAAAAUAUACUUCUAUUAGAAUACUGCUUGCCUUGUCUGCUCAUUUUAACUAGGAAUUAGAUCAACUUGAUGUCAAAACUGCUUUCCUAAAUAGAGAUCUUGAUGUAACAAUUUAUAUGAAUCAACCAAAAGGCUUUGAACAGAAUACCAAACUUGAAAAAGUUUGCCUUUUGAAAAAAUCACUUUAUGGUCUAAAACAAUCACCUAGGCAAUGGUAUAAGAAAUUUAAUUCAUAUGUUCAAAACUUAGAUUUUCUAAAAGCAAUUUUGACUCAUGUUUGUAUUCUAAAGUCUCUGGUGGGCCUAAUUCUGUCUACUUGCUUUUAUAUGUUGAUGAUAUAUUUCUAGCUUCUCACAACAAAUCUGAAGUUGAUUUAGUCAAAUCAAAACUUAUGGUAGAAUUUGAAAUGAAAGACUUAGGUCAAGCAAAAAGAAUCUUAGGAAUGGAGAUAACUAGAGACAAAAAUAAUUGCAUGCUCUAUGUUAACCAAACUGCCUAUGUGAAAAAGAUUCUAGAAAAAUUUUCCAUGUCUGAUUGUAAACUUGUAUUUUUACCUAUUGCAAACCACUUUAAAUUGUCAAAUGAGCAAUCCCCAAAAAAUGAUGAAGAAUUUGAUAGGAUGAAGAAAAUACCCUAUGCCAGUGCUGUAGGUUCUAUCAUGUAUCUCAUGAUCUGUACCAGACCUAAUCUGGCACAUGGAAUUAGUAUAUUGAGUAGAUAUAUGGUUAAUUCUGGUGAAAUUCAUUGGCUUGCUAUAAAAUGGAUGUUUAGAUAUUUAAAGGGAUCAAUUGAUUUAGGUUUAAAAUUCGAACAUUGCAAUGAAGGGGCAAUUUUGAAAGGUUGUUGUGAUUCUGAUUUUGCUGGUGAUCUUGAUAAAAGGAGAUCCACUUCCUCUUAUGUCUUUACUUUGUGUAAUGGAUGUGUAAGUUGGAAAUCCCAAUUACAGAAACUUGUUGCUCUGUCUUCCACAGAGGCUGAAUAUAUAGCAACUUGUGAUGCAAAUAAAGUAGGAUUAUGGUUGAAGGGUCUAUUAACUGAAAUUGGUUUAAAAAAUGAACCUAUUAAUGUAUUUACAGAUAAUCAAAGUACUAUACACUUAAGUAAAAAUCUUGUGUAUCAUGGUAGAACCAAACAUGUUGAUAUUAAAUUUCAUUUGUGAGAGAUAUGGUUGAAUUAGGAACAAUAAAAUUGAUUAAGAUUCCUACUGAUUACAAUCCAUCUGACGUUGGUACAAAAAUCCUGCCUUUAAACAAGUUUAGAAAUUGCCUAAAAAUUCUGAAUAUUGUUCAAAGACUAAGAGAAUUAUGAUCAUCAUUUCUCCUGUUUGUGUUCUAAAAUUUCUUUUAUUUUGUAGGUACCUUUUAGAGCAAAUGAAACAUGUUAGUUGUGUUUGAUUCCACUAGAAUGAUUUCAUGAAUAGUUCAGCAAGGUGGAGAUUGUUGAACAUGAGCUGGUGCUUCACUAUUAAUUGAACUCCAACCAAUGUUAAUGGACUGGACGUUCGUUUGGGCCUCACAGUAAACCCGAUCAUUUGAAUGACCCAAGUUAAAAACGUGUUGUUGGUUAACACGACUACGAAUUGGAUCAAUGUGAUUUGUGAUGUGAUAUAAAUAACAGCAUCUCUCUCUCACUUCUGGACGAUUGAUGUGAAUUGUUUCUGGAAGAAUUUAGGGUUCUUCCGAUUUCUUGAGGGUUUUCUUCAAUAUGUUUACUGUGUGUUAUUUUCUCUGAAAAUCUUUGAGUGAAAAUUAUGAAGAUUGUAUUUGUAAGCAAUCAUAGAGAGAGCAGAUUGUGAGUUCACCGCGUUGUAUUUUGAAAGGAGAGGAGAGAGAAAAUAUUGAAGGAACUUGAGUUUCCUUCAUACAUUUGUACUGUUCUUGAGAAAUUUCUUAGUGGAAUCGAACAAUAUCUACUUGUAGAUGCUUAACGGGUGAGUAGGCUUUAAGCUGAACAUCCGAGCCUUCGUGGUGAAAAAUCACUUGUGUUAUUCUUCUUUUUCAGUUUUCUGUACUUUAAAUCGUUUGAUAUUUGAUUCUGAGACCAACAUUUUCCCUAAAAUUCGAAUUUCACAUUUUAUGCC